rnacentral:misc_RNA from 1 species
CAAAAAGCUAUUUCCCGGCUGAAAUCAUCAAUUUUUAGAAAUUUAGUUAUCUACAACAUCUUUCAGAAUAUUUCAAUAUAAUGGUAAAAAUAAAUUCGUUCUCAUUCAUCUCAGGUACCUACCAAAAUAAAUAUAAAAUUAUUGGCUCAUAUUGAAUCUUUAAUUACAAAUACAAUAGAAGAUCACUAAUUAGCCAAGCAGAUGCAUGCACAGAACCUCAAAGCUCUGGUCAGUGCCUCAAAAAUUGUACAGCUUCAAGUGAAUCUAAAUCAGUGACAACAACCAAUAAGGCAACAACUCACAACCAACAGCCAUUUCUAAGAAACAAUUGCUGACAUGACUCCUCAAACUACCAAUUCUUGUUCUUCUGAUGCAUGAUCUUGAAGAGUUGUAUUAAACUUCAAGCUUCUUGCAACAUCAAAGAAAUGGGCAACAGCUUCUUCAGGAGUCCCAACAAGAACACCAUGUCCAAGAUUAAGAAUAUGUCCCCUUGGCCCAGCACAUCUCACAACUCGUUGAAUUUCAUCUGUCAAUGCAGGAAGAGGAGAAAAUAAGUAAGCAGGGUCCACAUUUCCUUGUACACUAAUCCCACUACCCAAACGAUUCCUUCCGUCUGCCAUAUCCACUGUCCAGUCUAGCCCAAUCACAUCAACUCCAGUUCCUUUCAUACGCUCAAGAAGUCCACCAUUUCCAUUAAUGUAGAGAACAAGUGGCGUUUCAGGGCACUUAUUCCUUACCAUGCAGACUAUUUCUUCAAUAUAAGGCUUUGACCAACAGUCCCACAUGCUAGGUGGUAGCUGUCCACCCCAGGAAUCAAAUAUUUGUACGCAAUGAGCCCCAGACUCCACUUGAAAAACAAUGUAGUCAGCUAUUGUCUGUGUCAAAUGAGAGAGAAGAGCCCUCAGUACAUGUGGUGCUGUAUGGCACAUACUCUUUAUGUUAGUGUAUGUGCGAGUCGUACCCCCUUCCACUAUAUAUGUAGCAAUUGUCCAAGGAGCUCCAACAAAACCCAAAACUGCAGCAUGUCCAUUAACCUACAUAAAACAUAAAAAGAGUAAUGUAGAGGCAUGGUGUACAUUUCACAUAACAAAAAAUAACACAGAGCAAUUAUACUUAGCCUACUGCCUAUUUGAAAGGUAAGAAUAACCUCAUGUCGCAAUAUUCUAAGUGAUUCCCCCACAAAAUGGAGUUUCUCUAAUUCAAUGGAAUGUAGAGCCUUUAAUCCUUCUUCAGAACGAAUUGGAGUCUGAAUAACAGGCCCCCUUACUUCUUCUAUGUCAAAUGGAACACCAAAAGCUGGUAAAGGUGUAAGUAUGUCAGAGAAAAUAAUAACACCAUCUGGAUGAAAAGCUUCCCAGGGCUGCAAAGAAAUUUCCACAAUGAGAUCAGUUGUCUCUGACCUCUCUCUGAAGGAUGGAUAUUUCUCUGCAAGCUUUCUGUAAACAGCCAUAUACCUUCCUGCCUGACGCAUCAUCCAUGCUGGAGGCCUAUUUACAGGUUCUCCUCUUGCAGCCUUAACCAAAAGUGGAUCAGAAGAAGAACAAGAGACUUUGAAUCUUGGUGUUCUAGAGA